UUAACCCUUUGAGACCCUUCCUUUAAUCUCAUCUUAUAGUUAUCCAGCUAGCUAUUCUCAACAUUCUUGUUUUCGACUUGAUAUCAAGAUCAGUCCAUUCCAAGUUGUAACAUGGUUGAAUAUGAUCAAUACGAUGCUAAAGAUAUUCCCUCCGUCCCAACGCCACCUAAUCCUAAUUGUGUAGCUCCCCAGAUGGCAUAUCAACCUCCAAAUCCUAUGGGAAAAACCGAGUCCAAAGGCAAUGGAUUUUGGAGUGGAUUUUGUAGCGGCCUGUGUUGUUACUGUUGCCUGGACAUGUGCUUCUAAGAAACUGGAAACUUCACCCUGUUUGUUUUAUUUGGUUUCAGUUCAAUAGUAACAUAUUUUAUUACCCUAUACACCUUGUAAUGUAAAUAAAGCUUUGUGUUUGUAUUCUCAAA